UGCUUGGCAACGCUAUAAGAUUAUUAUUACUGCGAUGAUUUCAUCAUUUUCCGCGACUAUUUUGCUGAUAAUCUCCUGUUCGUCCAUUUCAAAUACUAUUAUACACUUUCUUGAUAAAAAACUGUUCGUUGCGAUCACGCUAUACACUUUUCUAACCUACACUCAGUUGACAUAACUUUGCACUUAUUUACACUAAAUUGCACUGACGUCAUACUAGUGCCAUGUCGUGCAGAGUAGGGAAGACCCAAUGAACAAAGCUAUUGAAGACUACUUAAAUAUAUGGCAGAGAAGUCAACUUUGGUUGGUCUAUAUCAUAUCAACAGAAAAUUGGUUCAUAUCAACAACACAAAUAAUGAUGUACAAUAUAAUGUAUCUAAGCCGAGGCGUCACAAUUUAUACAUUAUGGAUACGUAAUCCAACCAUCUUGUCCAUCCAACCAAUCAGUGCAAUUUGGCAACAAUCGUUUUGACGUUUCAAAACGUCAAAUUAGUUGUCAACAAAUUUCGAGUAAUUGUUGCGGUUCAUAAACCUCUAAAACUUGAUGCCACGCCACACGAAGUUAAACCUCGAAGAUUUGAAUUUAAGUGUCGAAUCAAUUAAAAACGUUUCAAGAAAUGAAUAAAAUCAUCUUCGGAUAUACCCCGGUUGAUUUGAAGCGAAUUUUAUUAACUUUUUAUUAUUUUAAGAAUGAAUGGAAAUUUGGAUGAACAUCUCCAACAAAACAACGCUUUUUA